rnacentral:lncRNA from 1 species
UACACGCGUGCAUGAAGGGAGUCGGAGAUCUGUGAAGCUGAUAACAGUGGUAACCGCCAAUGGAAUUAUGGAUGAUUUUCACUUUCUUCUUUAUACUUUUUAUUUUUCCAGUUGGGAAAAACCCCAGCACCAUUCAAAAGGAGAGAAGGAACGCCAUGGGUUUGAGACUUCCUGCCAGCCGCUCAGCUCCCACUCUGCUCUGGUCACCUCACCUUCCUGAACUUCAUCUGUUUGCUCAGCAAGAUGGGGUGCGAGGGUUGCAGUGAGGACAGAAAGAGGAGAGACUGAGGGUGCGGCACAGCAGGUCCCACACAUGGUAGGUGCUCACUACCCUGGCUGCCGACACUCAGUGCAGAGCCUGGGGAGACAGUGAGGCUUCCUGGUCCCGCACACGUGCUCUUGCCUGCCCUGUGCCCUUGUGCGCGUGCGUGCGAGCACACACACACACACACACACACACACACACACACACCGCGGUGCGCACAUGAGCGUGCUGUAACCUGCGUGGGGUGAGAGGAGAAAGCCCCAUCCCUGUCCAAGAUAAACACAGGAAGUGAAGAUCCCGGAGUGUCAGGGAAUGCACAGCUGGAAAGAAACAGGAUUGCCGGUCUGGGAUGCUCCUGACCCAGUGCUUGUCCUCGUGUGGAGAGAUUACAGCAGGGGCAGCGGCCACGCCCCAGAUGCCCACCUUCCUUGCUGGAGUCCUGGAUUCUGCUUCCCCUGUAGCCCACUGGAUCACAGGGGAGAGCUCCAUCAAAGCCACUCGGCCAGAGGCAGCUGCGUCUGGUCCAAAGCAGGGGCCCGCCCUUGGCUCCACGCUGCCCCACAGCACAUGCCAGGCUGA